rnacentral:rRNA from 1 species
GACGGAAGGUGCAAGCGUUGCUCGGAAUCACUGGGCGUAAAGGGCUCGUAGGCGGCCAUCUAAGUCGGACGUGAAAUCCCUCGGCUUAACCGGGGAACUGCCUUUGAUACUGAAGAUCUUGAGUUCGGGAGAGGUGAGUGGAACUGCGAGUGUAGAGGUGAAAUUCGUAGAUAUUCGCAAGAACACCAGUGGCGAAGGCGGCUCACUGGCCCGAUACUGACGCUGAGGCACGAAAGCGUGGGGAGCAAACAGG